rnacentral:rRNA from 1 species
AAUCAACGCUGGCGGCGCGCUUAACACAUGCAAGUCGAGCGAGAAAGGGGAGCAAUCCCUGAGUAAAGCGGCGCACGGGUGAGUAACACGUGGGGAAUCUACCUCUGGGUGGGGAAUAACUCUGGGAAACCGGAGCUAAUACCGCAUAAGCCUGGGAAGGGAAAGUCGAAAGACGCCGGGAGAGGACCCCGCGGCCGAUUAGCUAGUUGGUGAGGUAACGGCUCACCAAGGCAAAGAUCGGUAGCCGGCCUGAGAGGGCACACGGCCACACUGGCACUGAAACACGGGCCAGACUCCUACGGGAGGCAGCAGUGGGGAAUCUUGCACAAUGGGGGCAACCCUGAUGCAGCGACGCCGCGUGAGCGAUGAAGCCCUUCGGGGCGUAAAGCUC